UGAAUAGGACCUUCCUCAUCAUCAGUCCACACCUCCCGCACUUCAACAAAGAUGACUAUUAUGCCUGGUUCCAUGUGAAACUGGUUUCCAUCCUCGCUAGUUUCACUCCAGUGAUGCUUGAGAAGGCAACCUCAAACAUAAACUGCACAAAUUACCAUGUCAUUGUGAGUGGGGUAGCCAAAGUCUUCCCUGCGAUGCCCUUGCAUAGAAAACAAGGACUCACAGAUGUUCUUCUGGGCUACCUGACAAAUUCAGCAAGUGUCAUCAACGAACCAGUUUGCAGGCAGGG